AUGAGUUAUCUCCCUGGCUCUCCGCCUUGCCUCCAGACCUCCCCAGCUAAGAUGCUAUCAAAAGGAGAGGCAGAGAGGAACCACAGAGGUGUUGCUACUCCCCCUUCUCUCUCUAUCUCUCUCUCUCUCUCUCUAGAGCACACACACACAUAUCGCCCAGACCACAACAUAGACGCAAGAGUCAAGUUCGAACAUGGGUGGUUGCUUCGGGAUGGCUUCCAUGACAUGGUCAAGGAGGUGUGGGAGAAACCGGUCGUCGGGCCUACCCCAAUUCACAAAUGGAAUAACAAAAUGCGUGCUUUAUGUAAAUUCCUUGGUGGUUGGGCUAGGCAUAUGGUGGGUAUCCUCAAAAAGGAGAAGCUUCACCUUUCAUCUAUCAUUGAUGAAUUAGAAGCUUUGGCAGAGGUUAGACCUCUAUCUGAGCAUGAAAUCGAGAUCAAGAGUCAUUCAAAUGCACAGAUAGCUAGCAUGCUGCGUGAAGAGGAACUCAAAUGGUAUCAACAUUCUAACUCUCAAUUUAUCCUGAAAGCCCCAGCGGAAGGAAACUUCUCGAUGGAUGAGUCCCGAACAAAUGAUAUCCCCCAGGUCUCUUAUGAGGAAAACAUCCUUCUAACAGCCCGAUACUCCGAGGACGAAGUUAGAAAGGCGGUUUUCCUAAUGGAGCACAACAAAAAAUAUUUGGAGGACGCCUACUGCUACAGUGCCGGCGACAACAUGAUCUUCCUCUUGUGCCACGAUGGCCAAUGCUCCCUAGUGAACGCCCUGUCUGGCGACGAGACCAACCUACCAGAGCUUGCUGCCGUGCUUCACAAGAAUGUCGCCCAGGACGACGGCGAUACCACCAGUAGGGGGCUCAUGAUAAGCCAGCGCUUCUCAAAAGUUGUGAUGUCGCCGGCCAACCACUUCCCAGUCAUUGCUCUCUAG
rnacentral:rRNA from 1 species